rnacentral:rRNA from 1 species
UACGUAGGGUGCAGGCGUUAAUCGGAAUUACUGGGCGUAAAGCGUGCGCAGGCGGUUUCUUAAGUCAGAUGUGAAAGCCCCGGGCUUAACCUGGGAACUGCGCUUGAAACUGGGAGACUUGAGUGUGGCAGAGGGGGGUGGAAUUCCACGUGUAGCAGUGAAAUGCGUAGAUAUGUGGAGGAACACCGAUGGCGAAGGCAGCCCCCUGGGUUAACACUGACGCUCAUGCACCAAAGCGUGGGGAGCAAACAGG